GAGAUAUUAAUGUACAAUAAUUCGUAAAUAAAUGUUUUCAUAUCUCACAGGAUUCAAAUCUCAUAAAAGAAACUUAUUCGACAGCUAUAGCUAUAGCGAUGCUCCAGUUUCUUAUGCCCAGCAAUGUCAAGGCCAUGGAUACUUGUUAAAGCGAAAGGAGAACUUUCAGUCAUUCAGGAGAGUGAGUUCGGAAAGCCUAAAAAAUGACCACAUACUCCAGUUCAAGCUGUGUUGUCAUUAAUACCUGGAUAAUUAAAUUUAUAAGACAGUCAAUAAUUAAAUUGGUGCCUUUCUGUGAAGUAGAUAAUUUCAAGUCUCUAUUAGCAUGAUACUUAUGAAAAUCAUGAAGCUAAGUCCAGAAAAUUAUAUAAGAGAAAUGACAUAGAUGAGCAACAGGCCUGAUAAUCAUGCCUGUUCGCAGUGUGAAAUGUUCUUAAUUAAUAAAAAGAAGAUUCCAUCUUUCGAAUUGAGA